rnacentral:rRNA from 1 species
UACGGAGGGUGCAAGCGUUGUUCGGAAUCACUGGGCGUAAAGGGCGUGUAGGCGGCCUGUUAAGUCUGAUGUGAAAUCCCCUCGCUCAACGAGGGAACUGCGUCGGAAACUGGCAGGCUCGAGUACCGGAGAGGAAGGUGGAAUUCCUGGUGUAGCGGUGAAAUGCGCAGAUAUCAGGAAGAACACCCGUGGCGAAGGCGGCUCUCUGGAACGCAACUGACGCUGGGACGCGAAAGCGUGGGGAGCAAACAGG